rnacentral:rRNA from 1 species
GACGAACGCUGGCGGCGUGCUUAACACAUGCAAGUCGAACGGAAAGGCCUGCUUUCCCUUGUGGAUUGCGGGUACUCGAGUGGCGAACGGGUGAGUAACACGUGAGUGAUCUGCCCCCAACUUGGGUAUAAGCCUGGGAAACUGGGUCUAAUUCCCGAUCGGACUGCAGGGUGGUGCCUGUGGUGGAACACGAUUUUCUAGUGGUUGGGGAUGAGCUAGCGGCCUAUCAGCUUGUUGGUGGGGUACUGGCCUACCAAGGCGGCGACGGGUAGCCGGCCUGAGAGGAUGCACGGCCACAUUGGGACUGAGAUACGGCCCAGACGCCUACGGGAGGCAGCAGUGGGGAAUAUUGCGCAAUGGGCGGAAGCCUGAUGCAGCGACGCCGCGUGGGGGAUGACGGCCUUCGGGUUGUAAACUCCUUGCGACCGCGAGGAAGCCACCUGGUUGGAAGGGUGGUGACGGUAGUGGUAGAAGAAGCACCGGCUAACUACGUG